GAUGAACGCUAGCUACAGGCUUAACACAAGCAAGUCGCGGGGCAGCAUGGGGGUUGCUUGCAAUCCCCGAUGGCGACCGGCGCACGGGUGAGUAACGCGUAUCCAACCUGCCCUUCACCACGGGAUAACCCGGCGAAAGUCGGACUAAUACCGUAUGUUGUCCAUUGACGGCAUCCGAUUUGGACGAAAGGUUUGGCGGUGAAGGAUGGGGAUGCGUCCGAUUAGCUGGACGGCGGGGUGACGGCCCACCGUGGCGACGAUCGGUAGGGGUUCUGAGAGGAAGGUCCCCCACACUGGAACUGAGACACGGUCCAGACUCCUACGGGAGGCAGCAGUGAGGAAUAUUGGUCAAUGGGCGUAAGCCUGAACCAGCCAAGCAGCGUGCAGGAUGACGGCCCUAUGGGUUGUAAACUGCUUUUAUGCGGGGAUAAAGUGGCCCACGUGUGGGUUUUUGCAGGUACCGCAUGAAUAAGGACCGGCUAAUUCCGUG
rnacentral:rRNA from 1 species